rnacentral:siRNA from 1 species
GAACUCUUUCUUCGGUAUCUA